ensembl:lincRNA
GGCCGAUAAUUUCCCCCUCAUGAACCAAGUCAUUAUUUGUCGUUUAUUCUGAGCGUUGAAUCUUUCCUCUCAAUGGUUUCAGGUUCAUUUUCCAUGAGAUCGACUUCCUCUUGGAGGUUCCCUCUGCAAUGGCUGUGAAGGCUGGAAUCAUGGGUGGGAGUUUCAGCCGCAUUGACCGUGACGCAGGAAGUUCCGGAAUUUCAGCCUCUAAAAGCACGAGCUGCAGGCAGGGCCAAAGCAGUCUGAGGGCAGAGUACAGAAGGACACAAUAUGUUCUGGAAACGUAAAAAGCAAUCGAUGGGGACUUGUUUGAAUGUCCACCCUGAUGAUGCCUCAAAAGCCACCGUGAUGCUUACCAACGUUCGCUUCUUCGGAAACCUUUUUGCAAGCCCAUCGUCCAAGUCACCUGUGCACUUGAUUAAAAUGUCUUCACAGGACUCUGGCGUAGGAUUUCAAACUCCAUUGCACGGAGGUCAGCAAAACAAAAAUGUCUUGAUUUCUGUAGAACCAAAAGGAAGUGGACCUGGUGCUUCGGGUCUUCAGGAUCUGAAACCAGACAUCAUACAGCGGCCAAGCCCUCCAUCUUCUACCCCUGGGAUAGUUGAAAAUGAUGGAAUGGUCAGACUUGGUUCCCCACUUCAGGCCCCAGCCUUGUACCCUGAUGGUGACUCAAUAAGUUCUCCUGCUGCCCGUAACUUAGACGACUCAAGCAAAGAUCAAGAGCAUUUAGACAUAGACAGUAUAGUACCAAAGGAAAUGGACUCAUCGAAAGCUUUCAUCACCAACUUUCACGAGUGUUCAAGCAAUAGCACAGCAAGUGAAAUCAAUGACAGUGAUGAAGAUGAUGAUGUAUUUGACUCUUUUGAGGAUGGUGCUCAUAAAGCAAAGGAUUACACCCACGAUACAUCCCAAAUGGGCAAAUUAAAAAUGAUCAACGAAGACCAAAAUGACUUUGGCAUUCCGGAGAAUUACGUUGACAUGAAGGCUUCCAUUGCCGCAACACCAAGCAACUCCAACCUUCGUACUCUUAUAGGAAAUAGAAACCCUCAAAAGCCAUCGCUCACGAGAACCACCACGAGGAGUUUCAGGAUUGAAAGCAAAGUUGAGGUAAGGCUCCAUGUGACAAUGAGUCUGAUAUUUUUUGGUAAUUGAUAUGUUGUUGUGCAUAUCGGAUAAAUAUUCAGUAAAGCAUGCUUUAAACUGUCUUUUAAUACCGAAUUGUUCAAUCACCUCGGAUCUAUAUUUAUUAUGAAGAAUCUCGGAUGUAUGAGUGGAUUGUUAAUAAUGAGUAGCAAAAGGCAGAAGAGUCCAUCCACCAUCUUCCAGGCCACCUCCAAAAAGUCUCGUGCACUGUAUUGUAUGGAAUUUUAAUUUUCCAGGGCAGCAUCCGCUGCAGAACUGGAGGAAAUUCCAUUGCUAGUCAUAACAAUGGCAGAGUAGACAGAGCAUUUAUAUUCCAAAGUCUUUUAACUUCAACAGAUUGCUGAUGAUAUGCUGGAAUAAUUGCAAUGAACUUUUUCACCAUAACUCCUUCUCUAACGUACUUUCUUCUUCAAUUGUGCAGUCAAGAGCAAUGGUGAACAGAAGCGCAGGCCUCGGCCACUUGGAUCAGCUCUGCCGGCUCAUGGAGAAGCUGGGAGAGCUGCAGGACAGCAACAGGAGGCUGCGAUGUCAACUGCACAUGCUCGAGAACCAGUUGCAGGCCUCACAGAAACAGCAGGUGCGUGUGUCCUUUAUCGAAAGUCGAAUAAAAGGUGGAAUUAAUCAUGUGGGAGGUUUUCGACAAAAGCGGCUUCAGUCGAUUUGCAGUGGGGAGGUUUGGAUCACUAUUGUGAUGCAUAAAAGCUUAACAUCAUGGAGGCCUUGCUUUGUUUUGGAAACGGAGCCGAGGCUCAUGGAGGAGUUCAUAUACAUUUAUUCAAUGUCUUAAGUCCACUAAUGCUUAUGGUUUGUCCAAUUUGAAGUUUGUAUUUUAACCAUGAUUUCAUAUCCUUGCGUAUUGCCUACAGGCAUUGAUGAGCUCUCAAUGUAGCUGCGGGGCAGCACACAUCCUGGGACUUCAGCCUGCAGGGACCUCCCGAGGUGAGCGUCUUUGUAAGCUUUUUGUCCAUUUCAUCAGUUCAGAUAAAAGUAUAAACGAGAAUUCUCUUUUAUAAAACCUUUUAUAAAAACCUUCAGUCGGUACUGAUUUUCAGGAGUCUGUUCUACUUGUCUUUCAGAUUCCGGUUUCCAGCCAGCGGUGAUGAGACGUUGCUUGUCAUUUACAGUAAAGAAGAACCCUAGAGGGGGGG